AGAUCAAGUUGAAUGCCAAAAACUUUUACCACAACAUCCUGGCGCGCUCCAUGCAGGACAACUACAAGGACGACGUGGUCGCUGAAGGAGGACUAAUCGAGUUUGAGAUGGAAGACCCCAACGUCCCCAGCCACGCCAUAGUAAAGUUGAGGAGCAAGCAACUGGUGGACGCCCAGGUCAGCGAGUUCGACGUGCCCGCCGACGGAGGGAAGAAGUGAAGAGAUGAUGUGAAGGAACGCGUCAUGGAAGCAGCAUUGUGGUAGCAGCUGACAAUAGACUAUUUGGCACCAUUCCCCAAUAAUUUUAAAUCACAACAUAAAAAAAAUACACUUCAUUCUGGUGAAACUUAAUUAAUUUUAAAUUACCUGUAAAUAAGGAUUUUUUGUUGCAUUUUAAUUGAAAAAAGUAGUUUAAUUCUGUAAUUAUUCGAUAAUGAAAAAAAUUAAAAAAUAUGUGUCCAAAAUUUUUUUAUUAUCUGUCUGACGGACUAUACAGGGUGUUAGGUAAAUGGGUAUAUGAGCCGACACUAGCCCAUGUUAACAUGGUCAUAUAAAUGGUAUGGUGAAGUCAGAAAAUUGAUAUCAUCAUUUUUAUUAUUUUAUUUUUCAUACAAAUCGUAUUUUAUAAAAUUUAUUUUGUAUGAAAAUUAAAAAAAAUAAAAUGAUGAUAUCAAAUUUCUGACUUCACCAUACCAUUUAUAUGCCCAUGCUAACAUGGGCUAGUGUCGGCUCAUAUACCCAUUUACCUAACACCCUGUAUAUGUUGCGGUUAAUGUGAUAAAUUGAAAAUUAUUAAUAAUAACCGGUUAUUAUGAAUAAUUACCGACAGUCGCGGUAAAAGUGAUAAAUUAAUCACAUUUAACAGUGAUUAUUUAAUAAUUCAACGUCAGUACUAACAAAUUUCAUAAAAGAGAACAACAUCUUGUGUACGUGCUCGUGUACAGCCAAACUCUUGACCGUUUUGAUAUCACAUAUUAAUAUAAUUUGGCAUAAUGAGUUUGGAAUGUUUCUUGCAUAAUAUUACUUUUCCAUGAUGCCUAUAACAUAAUGUUUUGAUUUAAAGUGAAAAAUAGGUUAAGGUGCGGCGGGGGUGGCCCUUGGGCCACCCCUAAGCCGCCUAUUUAGUUUUAUACACACAUAAAUGACCUCAUAUUAAUCACAUUUACCAAAUCAUGUGGUAAUUAUUCAUAAUAACCGGCGAUUAUUCAUAAUUUUCACAUUUAUCACUUUGACCGUAACAUACAUAUAUAUAGAAUUUCGAUUUCAUUACCCAGUCAUCAGGGACCCAAAGAUGCUUGCUGUCGAGUCGCCUACCGUUUAUUUGUAACAGUUUCUAGUCAAUAAAUUGUGGUGUUAUUAUUUUAA